rnacentral:rRNA from 1 species
GACGAACGCUGGCGGCGUGCUUAACACAUGCAAGUCGAACGAAGAGCGAUGGAAGCUUGCUUCUAUCAAUCUUAGUGGCGAACGGGUGAGUAACGCGUAAUCAACCUGCCCUUCAGAGGGGGACAACAGUUGGAAACGACUGCUAAUACCGCAUACGAUCUAAUCUCGGCAUCGAGGAUAGAUGAAAGGUGGCCUCUACAUGUAAGCUAUCACUGAAGGAGGGGAGUGCGUCUGAUUAGCUAGUUGGAGGGGUAACGGCCCACCAAGGCGAGGAGCAGUAGCCGGUCUGAGAGGAUGAACGGCCACAUUGGGACUGAGACACGGCCCAGACUCCUACGGGAGGCUGCAGUGGGGAAUCUUCCGCAAUGGACGAAAGUCUGACGGAGCAACGCCGCGUGAGUGAUGACGGCCUUCGGGUUGUAAAGCUCUGUUAAUCGGGACGAAAGGCCUUCUUGCGAAUAGUGAGAAGGAUUGACGGUACCGGAAUAGAAAGCCACGGCUAACUACGUG